GAUGAAGAACGUAGCGAAAUGCGAUAAGUAAUGUGAAUUGCAGAAUUCAGUGAAUCAUCGAAUCUUUGAACGCACAUUGCGCCCCUUGGUAUUCCGAGGGGCAUGCCUGUUCGAGCGUCAUAUUAACCACUCCCGCUUGCGGGGUCUUGGGCUUCGCCUCCGGGCGGGCCUUAAAAUCAGUGGCGGUGCCGUCGGGCUCUACGCGUAGUAAAUUUUCUCGCGAUAGGGUCCCGGUGGAUGCUUGCCAACAACCCCCAACUUCUUAAGGUUGACCUCGGAUCAGGUAGGGAUACCCGCUGAACUUAAGCAUAUCAAUAAGCGGAGGG
rnacentral:misc_RNA from 1 species